CGCUGCUUGCUGACUCGCUCACUCACUUGGAUAUCUCGUCAUUCCGUCAGCUACACCAGCAUGAACAGCUCUACCAGCCACUUUCAUUGUGCUCAAUCCCUCCCUCUUUCUCAGUCCAGGCGAAAACAAGUCCGAACAAGGGAAAAAUAGCUUAGACUUGUGAUGGAAUACCUGACAUUAUGCUCCAUACCUGCUACGAAGGUGGAAUCCUGGCCUGCACUGGGGAAGACUGGAGCCACUCUUACAAAGAUGCAGAGAUACCCCAUAUCUUGUCAACCGAGUUUGAGUAAGAUGUCAACUGUUUUGACAAUCCAUCAACAGAGCCGUCCACAAGAAAGUCUGUCCGGGAUCUCUGAGGAGAUGCUGCAAGACCUACUGAAUUGCUUGAGCCUUUUCCCUUAUUUCAGAAUUCUAGCAUCUGCUGGAUUUUGUCUUUAUUCAAGAGUUUAAUAUUCCAGCAGGAUUUGAAUAUCUGCUGCCCCUCCAUGCC